rnacentral:rRNA from 1 species
UACAGAGGUCUCAAGCGUUGUUCGGAUUCACUGGGCUUAAAGGGCGCGUAGGCGGGUGCUCAAGUCCGUGGUGAAAUCCUCCGGCUCAACCGGAGAACUGCCUCGGAUACUGGGCGUCUCGAGUGUGGUAGGGGUAUGCGGAACUAUCGGUGGAGCGGUGAAAUGCGUUGAUAUCGAUAGGAACUCCGGUGGCGAAGGCGGCAUACUGGACCACCACUGACGCUGAUGCGCGAAAGCCAGGGGAGCGAACGGG